ensembl:lncRNA
UUAACUAAUUAUGUAAUUUUUUUUCAAGGCAUGAAGAUCAUGGCCUGUUCGAGGGUGUCUUUGUCUGUAAAGAUGAAGAUGUUUCCAAGUUUGUGGACUACAUUAAUGCUAAGACAAAGCACGUAAGUUAUAUUGUUGUUUUGUCUUGGUGCAGUCUAAAAUUGUAUUCCCCCCAAAAAUAAAAAAAUCUUGCAUGGCUUAGACUAGAGUAAGGCAAAAAUUCAAAAGAACUUGUGGUCAUUUGAAAUGUGUCCUCCUUUUGGCCUUUUUUGUACAAAUUUCUGUUUCCUAUUGACAUUUAUCCAUAUAUGUAAUUUAAUACAAUGUUGUUGAAUCAUAAAAUUUCUUUUACUUUGUUCUAAACUUGAUAGUCAGCUGGAAAAGGUGUCUGUGGAUCAAGUCAAUGGAGUGCAGCACGGGAGUCUGUCCCAAAGAAAAUCAACAAGCUGGAUGAGGAGGGGAUGGAGGUGGCUGUCUGUCGACAUGGUGUGCUCCUGAGAAGUCUGAACAUGAUGAGGGGGGAAAUAUUUGCGUAUCCCCUGUUUCUCCAAAAAGAGCUGACUGCAAAGAAUGUGCAGUUCAUGUGCACUGAUGUUAUAUGCAAGUACUGGCCAUACCUGCAGAGAAUUGUUAAAGAUUGUCCAGAGCUCUCUCCUCUCCUGGACAUGAAGCCUUUCCUGUCAGUGAUGCAUGCAAAGGCCCACUCUUGGAAAUGUGAGAUUAAAUGGGGUGGUCGAAACCAAGAAGGAGCAGGCACCACCCUGGGGGAAGAGGUCGAACAAGUUAACAGCUUUUUGUCGAGAACUGCUAUAUGCAGUAAAUACAUGACCAAAGGAGCCAGAACAGACAUGAUUACAAUCCAGGCCAUGGCAUGGAAUCAGCGCAAAAUACGGAAACUUGCAAAAGCGCUGUCCCUAAGAUUUAAAAAGAUGGGAACAAGAGAAGACACAAACUCCGAAGAAAGAUUUUGGAAGAAAAAGCCAAAUUUUGUGCAGCUGUAGAUGACUACAACAGGGCAGCAACUGAAAAACUGCAGUCAGCUGAUACAAUACUGGCAUCUGAGAGCUAUGCAUGGCCAUGGGUCCUUGAUGAACGUGGUAUGUCUUGUUACUCAUUUAAAUUCGGAUGAAUGUACUGUGUUUAUGUAGCAGCUUAUCUGUUUACAGUGGAUAUUGUUUGCAACUGUUGUACAGCAGGAUAUUUUGCAUGUUUCCUACAGUGUGUAUGCAUUUUGUCCGGCUAUAGCAAGCUUGUUCUGCAAUAGUGUAAGCACAUCUAGGACCGGUUUCACAGACAAGAGCUUAGACUAAGCUAGGAUUAGGUCAUAGGUUUAAGAUUUAAGUAGCUUUUAUAAAUGUGCCAUAGGAAACAAAAC